rnacentral:rRNA from 1 species
UACGAAGGGGGCUAGCGUUGCUCGGAAUCACUGGGCGUAAAGCGCACGUAGGCGGCUCUUUAAGUCAGGGGUGAAAUCCCAAGGCUCAGCCUUGGAACUGCCUUUGAUACUGGGGAUCUCGAGUCCGGAAGAGGUGAGUGGAACUGCGAGUGUAGAGGUGAAAUUCGUAGAUAUUCGCAAGAACACCAGUGGCGAAGGCGGCUCACUGGUCCGGUACUGACGCUGAGGGGCGAAAGCGUGGGGAGCAAACAGG